rnacentral:rRNA from 1 species
UGCGUAGGCGGGCUAAUAAGUCAGUGGUGAAAUCUCUCGGCUCAACCGGGAAACUGCCAUUGAUACUGUUAGUCUUGAGUUCGGUUGAGGUAGGCGGAAUGUGUAAUGUAGCGGUGAAAUGCUUAGAUAUUACACAGAACACCAAUUGCGUAGGCAGCUUACUAGACCGACACUGACGCUGAGGCACGAAAGCGUGGGGAGCGAACCGGAUUAGAUACCCGAGUAGUCC